rnacentral:rRNA from 1 species
UACGAAGGGGGCUAGCGUUGUUCGGAAUUACUGGGCGUAAAGCGCGUGUAGGCGGGUCUUUAAGUCAGGGGUGAAAUGCCAAGGCUCAACCUUGGAACUGCCUUUGAUACUGGAGAUCUUGAGUCCGGGAGAGGGACGCGGAAUUCCAGGUGUAGCGGUGAAAUGCGUAGAUAUCUGGAGGAACACCGGUGGCGAAGGCGGCGUCCUGGACCAACACUGACACUGAGGAGCGAAAGCCAGGGGAGCAAACGGG